GACGAAGGAUGCAAGCGUUAUCCGGAUUCAUUGGGUUUAAAGGGAGCGUAGGUGGCCUUGUAAGUCAGUGGUGAAAUCUGACAGCUUAACUGUUAAAUUGCCAUUGAUACUGCAAGGCUUGAGUACAGAUGCCGUUGGCGGAAUAUGACAUGUAGUGGUGAAAUACAUAGAGAUGUCAUAGAACACCGAUUGCGAAGGCAGCUGACGAAACUGUAACUGACACUGAGGAGCGAAAGCCAGGGGAGCAAACGGG
rnacentral:rRNA from 1 species